CAGAGUUGCAAGACUCCCUAAACCAUUGUGAAACCUACCUUCUACCGUUGCUUCGGCGGGCGGGCCCAGCGCCCCCCCCCGGCCCCCCGCGGGCGCCCGCCGGAGGAUACCCAAACUCUUGACAUUAGUGGCCUCUCUGAGUAUUCUUUACUGAAUAAGUCA
rnacentral:misc_RNA from 1 species